rnacentral:rRNA from 1 species
GAUGAACGCUGGCGGCGUGCCUAAUACAUGCAAGUAGAGCGCUGAAGGAGGAGCUUGCUCUUCUGGAUGAGUUGCGAACGGGUGAGUAACGCGUAGGUAACCUGCCUGGUAGCGGGGGAUAACUAUUGGAAACGAUAGCUAAUACCGCAUGACAACAGUUAUUGCAUGAUAACUGUUUAAAAGGGGCAACUGCUCCACUACCAGAUGGACCUGCGUUGUAUUAGCUAGUUGGUGAGGUAACGGCUCACCAAGGCGACGAUACAUAGCCGACCUGAGAGGGUGAUCGGCCACACUGGGACUGAGACACGGCCCAGACUCCUACGGGAGGCAGCAGUAGGGAAUCUUCGGCAAUGGACGGAAGUCUGACCGAGCAACGCCGCGUGAGUGAAGAAGGUUUUCGGAUCGUAAAGCUCUGUUGUAAGAGAAGAACGAGUGUGAGAGUGGAAAGUUCACACUGUGACGGUAUCUUACCAGAAAGGGACGGCUAACUACGUG